CCGAAUGGGGAAACCCACUUAGGGUAAUGCCUAAGUAUCUAUAUCUGAACACAUAGGAUAUAAGAAGGGAACUUGGUGAACUGAAACAUCUAAGUAACCAGAGGAAAAAAAAUCAAACGAGAUUCCCUUAGUAGUGGCGAGCGAAACGGGAAAAGCCUAAACCCUAUAUGUGUAAGCAUGCAGGCGUUGCAUAUAGGGUGUUGUAGGGUUGUUUAUGAUAAGACUGCUUUCUUGUCCUUAAGUUACAAAUCAUCAUUUUAGUAGAAUAUGUUGGAAAGCAUAACCAUAGAAGGUGAUAGUCCUGUAAGCGAAAAAAUGGUGACUUAAGAAACAAUUCCUGAGUACCAUGGGACACGAGAAAUCUUGUGGGAAUCCGGGUGGACCAUCAUCCAAGGCUAAAUACUAGUGUGUAACCGAUAGUGUACCAGUACCGUGAGGGAAAGGUGAAAAGAACCCCGAGAGGGGAGUGAAAUAGAACGUGAAACCGUGUGCCUACAAGCUGUCGGAGGUUUCUUAUGAGACUGACGGCGUGCCUAUUGAAGAAUGUGCCGGCGACUUAAUGUUAACAGCAAGGUUAAGUUUGAAAACGGAGCCGUAGCGAAAGCGAGUCUGAAUAGGGCGUUUAGUUGUUGGCAUUAGACCCGAAACCUAGUGAUCUAUCCAUGGGCAGGAUGAAGCGAAAGUAACAUUUCGUGGAGGUCCGAACCGUUGUAUGUUGAAAAAUGCUCGGAUGACCUGUGGAUAGUGGUGAAAUGCUAAUCGAACUAGGAGAUAUCUGGCUCUCUCCGAAAUGACUUUAGGGUCAGCCUCAAAUGUUUAAACCUGGAGGUAGAGCACUGUUUAGGCUAGGGGGAUUACCAAUCCUACCGAACUUAGGCAAACUCCGAAUGCCAGGUGGUAUAAUUUGGGAGUGAGACAUAGGGGGCUAAGCUCCUAUGUCAAGAGGGAAACAGCCCAGAUCGUCAGCUAAGGUCCCUAAAAUAUGCUAAGUGGAAAAGGAAGUGGAGUUGCUUAAACAACCAGGAGGUUGGCUUAGAAGCAGCCAUCCUUUAAAGAAAGCGUAAUAGCUCACUGGUCGAGCGAUUCUGCGCCGAAAAUGUAACGGGGCUCAAGCAUAUUACCGAAGCUACGAACUUUUUAUUAAGUGGUAGGAGAGCGUUCUGUCUUAGGUUGAAGUCAAACUGUGAAGUUUGGUGGACGAAACAGAAGUGAGAAUGUCGGCAUGAGUAGCGAAAAGAUAAGUGAGAAUCUUAUCCGUCGAAAAACUAAGGUUUCCUGGGCAAGGCUCGUCCUCCCAGGGUUAGUCGGUGACUAAGGCGAGGCCGAAAGGCGUAGUCGAUGUGCAACAGGUUAAUAUUCCUGUACUACCCGUAAGUCGUUAUUAGCGAAGGGGUGACGCAGUAGGAUAGGUCAGCCACUUAUUGGAUUGUGGUUUAAGUAUGUAGGUAGAAGAGAAUGGUAAAUCCGUCUUUUUGUUAAUCUGAGAUACGAGUACGAUUCGCUUGCGAAGAAGUGAUUGAUUCCACACUGACAAGAAAAACCUCUAGUGAGAUUUAUAGGUAACCGUACUAAAACCAACACAGGUAGUUAGGUAGAGUAUACUAAGACGCGCGAGAUAACCCUCGUUAAGGAACUCGGCAAAUUAGCCUCGUAACUUCGGGAGAAGAGGUGCCUCAUAUAGGUGAAGCCCAUACGGGUGGAGCCUAAAGAGGUUGCAGUGAAAUGGCUCAAGCGACUGUUUAUCAAAAACACAGGUCCCUGCUAAACCGCAAGGUGAUGUAUAGGGGCUGACGCCUGCCCAGUGCUGGAAGGUUAAAGGGAGAUGUUAGUGACCUCGGUUGCGAAGCAUUGAACUGAAGCCCCAGUGAACGGCGGGCCGUAACUAUAACGGUCCUAAGGUAGCGAAAUUCCUUGUCGGGUAAGUUCCGACCCGCACGAAAGGCGUAACGAAUUGAGCACUGUCUCAACGAGGGACUCGGUGAAAUUGAAGUGUCCGUGAAGAUACGGACUACCUACAGCAGGACAGAAAGACCCCGUGGAGCUUUACUGUAGCUUGGCUUUGUGUUUUGAAAUGCUUUGUGCAGGAUAGGUGGGAGGCUAUGAAACUAAAUCGUCAGAUUUAGUGGAGCCAUCCUUGAGAUACCACCCUGAGUAUUUUGAACCACUAACCGCACGCCGUUAUCCGGGUGUGGGACAGAGUCUGGUGGGCAGUUUGACUGGGGCGGUCGCCUCCUAAAAGGUAACGGAGGCGCUCAAAGGUUCACUCAGAACGGUAGGAAACCGUUUGUAGAGCGUAAGGGUAUAAGUGAGCUUGACUGCAAGACCUACAAGUCGAGCAGGGACGAAAGUCGGACCUAGUGAUCCGGUGACUCCGUAUGGAAGG
rnacentral:rRNA from 1 species